rnacentral:rRNA from 1 species
UACGUAGGGUGCAAGCGUUAUCCGGAAUUAUUGGGCGUAAAGAGCUCGUAGGCGGUUUGUCGCGUCUGCUGUGAAAACUGGAGGCUCAACCUCCAGCCUGCAGUGGGUACGGGCAGACUAGAGUGCGGUAGGGGAGAUUGGAAUUCCUGGUGUAGCGGUGGAAUGCGCAGAUAUCAGGAGGAACACCGAUGGCGAAGGCAGAUCUCUGGGCCGUAGCUGACGCUGAGGAGCGAAAGCAUGGGGAGCGAACAGG